rnacentral:rRNA from 1 species
GGUCAAGCUACAAAGAGCCUACGGUGGAUACCUAGGCACACAGAGGCGAUGAAGGACGUGGUUACCGACGAAACGCUUCGGGGAGCUGGAAGCAAGCUUUGAUCCGGAGAUGUCCGAAUGGGGCAACCCAAUAACUCUAACGCCAAUCCAUAACGUUAGAGAGCCAACCCAGCGAAUUGAAACAUCUUAGUAGCUGGAGGAAGAGAAAGCAAACGCGAUUCCCCUAGUAGCGGCGAGCGAAGCGGGAACAGCCUAAACCAGCAGGCUUGCCUGUUGGGGUCGUGGGACAGCGACAUGGAAUCGAGCGACUAGACGAAGCAGCUGAAUACUGCACCAGAGAAGGUGAAAGUCCUGUAGUCGAAAGUUUAACGAUACUAGCUGAAUCCCGAGUAGUCCGGAGCACGUGAAAUUCCGGAUGAAUCUGCGAGGACCACCUCGUAAGGCUAAAUACUCCUGUGUGACCGAUAGCGUAUAGUACCGCGAGGGAAAGGUGAAAAGAACCCCGGAAGGGGAGUGAAAUAGAACAUGAAACCGUAGGCUUACAAGCAGUCGAAGGCCGAUUUAACGGCUGACGGCGUGCCUGUUGAAGAAUGAGCCGGCGACUUAUAGGUACUGGCAGGUUAAGACGGAAAUGUCGAAGCCAAAGCGAAAGCGAGUCUGAUAAGGGCGUUAGUCAGUAUUUAUAGACCCGAACCCGGGUGAUCUAACCAUGGCCAGAAUGAAGCUUGGGUAAAACCAAGUGAAGGUUCGCACCGACCGAUGUUGAAAAAUCGGCGGAUGAGCUGUGGUUAGGGGUGAAAUGCCAAUCGAACCCGGAGCUAGCUGGUUCUCCCCGAAAUAUGUUGAGGCAUAGCGGUUGAGAUUAUAGCGGGGGGGUAAAGCACUGAUUCGGUGCGGGCUGGGAGACCGGUACCAAAUCGAGUCAAACUCUGAAUACCCCGUGUACACUCAGCCAGUCAGACGGUGGGGGAUAAGCUUCAUCGUCAAGAGGGAAACAGCCCAGACCACCAGCUAAGGUCCCCAAAUUGUCACUAAGUGAUAAAGGAGGUAGGAAUGCAUAGACAACCAGGAGGUUUGCCUAGAAGCAGCCACCCUUAAAAGAGUGCGUAAUAGCUCACUGGUCAAGCGUUCCUGCGCCGAAAAUGAACGGGGCUAAGUGACGUACCGAAGCUGUGGGAUAUAUCUAUCGAUGUAUCGGUAGGGGAGCGUUCUGCAUUAGUUUGAAGCACUAGCGUAAGCAGGUGUGGACGAGGCAGAAGUGAGAAUGUCGGCUUGAGUAGCGAAAACAUUGGUGAGAAUCCAAUGCCCCGAAACCCCAAGGGUUCCUCCGGAAGGCUCGUCCGCGGAGGGUUAGUCGGGACCUAAGGCGAGGCCGAAAGGCGUAGUCGAUGGACAACUGGUUAAUAUUCCAGUACUCAUCUUGGUUUGUGCAGAGGGACGGAGAAGGCUAAAUCAGCCGGAUGUUGGUUACCGGUUUAACUGUCCGAGGUGUUGAGGAGCGGUGAAAACGCUCUGAGCUAAGGCAGGAAUACGACCCGCUACGGCGGGGAAGUGAUUGAUGUCAUACUUCCGAGAAAAGCUCUAAACACGCUAAGCCAAGAUACCCGUACCCGAAACCGACACAGGUGGGGGGGUAGAGUAUACCAAGGGGCGCGAGAUAACUCUCUCUAAGGAACUCGGCAAAAUGGCCCCGUAACUUCGGGAGAAGGGGUGCCACCGAGAGGUGGUCGCAGUGAAGAGAUCCAGGCGACUGUUUACCAAAAACACAGGUCUCCGCUAAGUCGCAAGACGAUGUAUGGGGGCUGACGCCUGCCCAGUGCCGGAAGGUUAAGGAAGUUGGUUAGCGUAAGCGAAGCUAGCGACUGAAGCCCCGGUGAACGGCGGCCGUAACUAUAACGGUCCUAAGGUAGCGAAAUUCCUUGUCGGGUAAGUUCCGACCCGCACGAAAGGCGUAACGAUCUGGAUGCUGUCUCGGAGAGAGACUCGGCGAAAUAGAAGUGUCUGUGAAGAUGCGGACUACCUGCACCCGGACAGAAAGACCCUAUGAAGCUUUACUGUAGCUUGGAAUUGGGUUCGGGCUUUGCUUGCGCAGGAUAGGUGGGAGACGUUGAAGUAUCUCUUUUGGGAGAUAUGGAGUCAUCGGUGAGAUACCACUCUGGCAAGGCUAGAAUUCUAACUCUCUGCCGUUAUCCGGCGAGGGAACAGUUUCAGGUGGGCAGUUUGACUGGGGCGGUCGCCUCCUAAAAGAUAACGGAGGCGCGCAAAGGUUCCCUCAGACUGGUCGGAAAUCAGUCGAAGAGUGUAAAGGCAUAAGGGAGCUUGACUGCAAGACCUACAAGUCGAGCAGGUACGAAAGUAGGCCUUAGUGAUCCGACGGUUCCGCGUGGAAGGGCCGUCGCUCAACGGAUAAAAGUUACUCUAGGGAUAACAGGCUGAUCUCCCCCAAGAGUUCACAUCGACGGGGAGGUUUGGCACCUCGAUGUCGGCUCAUCGCAACCUGGGGCGGUAGUACGUCCCAAGGGUUGGGCUGUUCGCCCAUUAAAGCGGUACGUGAGCUGGGUUCAGAACGUCGUGAGACAGUUCGGUCCAUAUCCGGUGCAGGCGUAGGAGCAUUGAGAGGAGUCCUCCUUAGUACGAGAGGACCGGGAGGAACGCACCGCUGGUGUACCUGUUGUCGUGCCAACGGCAAACGCAGGGUAGCCAAGUGCGGAGUGGAUAACCGCUGAAAGCAUCUAAGUGGGAAGCCCACCUCAAGAUGAGUGCUCCCAUGGCACAAGCCAGUAAGGUCACGGGAAGAACACCCGUUAAUAGGCUCUAGAUGGAAGUUCAGUAAUGGAUGAAGUCGAGGAGUACUAAUAGACCGAGGGCUUGACCUC